GUUAGGUGUGGUGGUGCACACCUGUAAUCUCAGCAGUUUGGGAGGCUGAGGCAGGAGGAGUUCAAAGGCAGCCUCAGCAAUAGUGAGGCGCCAAGCAAUUCAGUGAGACCCUGUCUCUA
rnacentral:sRNA from 1 species